rnacentral:rRNA from 1 species
UGCAUAUCCAAAAAGCGGAGGAAAAGAAACCAACAGGGAUUGCCUCAGUAACGGCGAGUGAAGCGGCAACAGCUCAAAUUUGAAAUCUGGCCUCUUGGGGUCCGAGUUGUAAUUUGUAGAGGAUGUUUCGGGUACCGCCUCGGUUUAAAUUUCUUGGAACAGAAUGUCAAAGAGGGUGAGAAUCCCGUCUUGGACCGGCGGUAGGGCCUAUGUGAAACUCCUUCGACGAGUCGAGUUGUUUGGGAAUGCAGCUCAAAAUGGGUGGUAAAUUUCAUCUAAAGCUAAAUAUUGGCCAGAGACCGAUAGCGCACAAGUAGAGUGAUCGAAAGAUGAAAAGCACUUUGAAAAGAGAGUUAAACAGUAUGUGAAAUUGUUGAAAGGGAAGCGCUUGCAACCAGACUUGAGCGCGGCGGUUCCCCCUUGCUUCUGCUUGGGUUACUCCGCCGUGUCCAGGCCAACAUCGGUUCUGGGGGUCGGUCAAAGGCUCUGGGAAUGUAUCUACCCACGGGUAGACUUAUAGACCAGGGUGUCAUGCGACCUCCCGGGACCGAGGAACGCGCUUCGGCUCGGAUGUUGGCGUAAUGGUUGUCAGCGACCCGUCUUGAACACCGGACCAAGA